GACGAAGGGGGCUAGCGUUGUUCGGAAUUACUGGGCGUAAAGGGCUCGUAGGCGGCCAACUAAGUCGGACGUGAAAUCCCUCGGCUUAACCGGGGAACUGCGUCCGAUACUGGAUGGCUUGAGUUCGGGAGAGGGAUGCGGAAUUCCAGGUGUAGCGGUGAAAUGCGUAGAUAUCUGGAGGAACACCGGUGGCGAAGGCGGCAUCCUGGACCGGUAUUGACGCUGAGGAGCGAAAGCCAGGGGAGCAAACGGG
rnacentral:rRNA from 1 species